UACGGAGGAUCCGAGCGUUAUCCGGAUUUAUUGGGUUUAAAGGGUGCGCAGGCGGGAGAUUAAGUCGGCGGUGAAAUUUUGCAGCUCAACUGUAAAAGUGCCUUCGAAACUGGUUUCCUUGAGUGUAGAUGAAGUAGGCGGAAUUUGUGGUGUAGCGGUGAAAUGCAUAGAUAUCACGAGGAACUCCGAUUGCGAAGGCAGCUUACUAAACUACUACUGACGCUCAGGCACGAAGGCGUGGGGAUCAAACAGGAUUAGAUACCCGGGUAGUCCCU
rnacentral:rRNA from 1 species